CAGAGCCGCGGUAAAACGUAGGUGGCAAGCGUUGUCCGGAAUUAUUGGGCGUAAAGGGCUCGCAGGCGGUUUCUUAAGUCUGAUGUGAAAGCCCCCGGCUCAACCGGGGAGGGUCAUUGGAAACUGGGAAACUUGAGUGCAGAAGAGGAGAGUGGAAUUCCACGUGUAGCGGUGAAAUGCGUAGGGAUGUGGAGGAACACCAGUGGCGAAGGCGACUCUCUGGCCUGUAACUGACGCUGAGGAGCGAAAGCGUGGGGAGCGAACAGGAUUAGAGACCCCUGUAGUCCCUGUCUCUUAUACA
rnacentral:rRNA from 1 species